rnacentral:rRNA from 1 species
AACAAAUAUUAAAGGCAACGCCUGCCCAGUGAACAAUUAAACGGCCGCGGUACCCUAACCGUGCAAAGGUAGCAUAAUCAUUUGUCUAUUAAUUGUAGACCCGUAUGAAAGGCAAAAUGAAGGCCUAACUGUCUCUUAUAAUAAAUCAAUUAAACUGAUCCCCUAGUAAAAAAGCUAGAAUACACACAUAAGACCAGAAGACCCUGUGAAGCUUUAACUAAACUAUUAUACCCUAUAAUAGCUACUUUCGGUUGGGGCGACCUUGGAAUAAAAAAGAACUUCCAAACAUAUGACCAUAACCCAUACUAAUUAGGCCCACAAGCCACCUUAACGACCCAGUUUUAAACUGAUCACUGAACCAAGCUACUCCAGGGAUAACAGCGCUAUCUUCUUCAAGAGCCCAUAUCAAAAAGAAGGUUUACGACCUCGAUGUUGGAUCAGGACAUCCUAAUGGUGCAGCCACUAUUAAGGGUUCGUUUGUUCAACGAUUAAUAGUCCUACGUGAUCUGAGUUCAGACCGGAGCAAUCCAGG